AGCGCAGGCGGGAAGGUAAGUCUAUCUUAAAAGUGCGGGGCUCAACCCCGUGAGGGGAUAGAAACUAUUUUUCUUGAGUGCAGGAGAGGAAAGCGGAAUUCCUAGUGUAGCGGUGAAAUGCGUAGAUAUUAGGAGGAACACCAGUGGCGAAGGCGGCUUUCUGGACUGUAACUGACGCUGAGGCUCGAAAGCCAGGGGAGCGAACGG
rnacentral:rRNA from 1 species